AUGUGUAUAAGAGACAGACUUACAUUUAUGGCUAUUAAGCAUAUCCGUUUCCCUUCUCAAAGAGCUGCUAAAAAAUGUACUUUGGCUGCUCCACUUCUGCAUUUCUAC